GUAGCUCAGUGGUAGAGAACUUGCCUAGUGUGUACAAGGUCCUAGGUUCAAUACCUAGUACG
rnacentral:tRNA from 1 species